UUUUCUAGCUUUGUUUUUCAUAUAGAGGUCAAUCUGUAGAUUAUUUUGGAUUGUCUAUAUAUAUGUGUAUGUGUAUAUAUAUAAACAUAGCACCUAUUUAUUGAUAUUUUAACUUUCUAAUCUUUAUACAUUUUGAAUUCCUGAGAUAGAACCAAUUUUGUCAUAACGCCACUAAUUAUGUGGCACCAUCAUGGGCCACUAAUUCAAUGGUGCCCUUGUCAAACGAGGAAUUUGGAGACAGACACACCUGAGCAGGGAGAAAGCCAAUGGGCAGGUGAAGGCAGAGAGCUGGGGCUGCAGCUACAAGUCAGGACCAACAAAGAUUGCGAUAAACCACCAGAAGCCCAGAGAGAGGCACAGAAGAAAUUCUUCCUCACAGCCGUCGGGAGAAACCAUCUCUGCCCAACCUGUGGAACAAUCAGCCUGUCACUUAUUGACCUUAAAAAUAAAACAACCAGUUACUUUACCAGCAAAAUGGAUUUAUUUGGGAAUCGCAAAAAUUUGCAGUUAAGGACAAGCAAGCUAUGGCAAAACCACAGGGAAGUUUAGCAAAUGAAGAGAGGAAUGUCACUUUGUAGAAGAAAAGAAAGUUGGGAGGGACAGAGUUUCACGGAUGCUACAUGAGACUCCUGAGUUGGAGACACAAGACUUUCUCACUUGUGGCACAGCAGGCAAAUGAGCUGCCUGUUUGCAUCGGUUCCUCGUGCCCCUACAGUUUCAUAGGAGCAACGUGGAGUGGCCGAGAAAGAAGAUUCACCACAAUUUUCAAAGGAGAAAAGGGGAGUUGUGCGGAAGUGGAUAUUCC
rnacentral:lncRNA from 1 species